rnacentral:rRNA from 1 species
GACGAACGCUGGCGGCGUGCUUAACACAUGCAAGUCGAACGGAAAGGCCCUGCUUUUGUGGGGUGCUCGAGUGGCGAACGGGUGAGUAACACGUGAGUAACCUGCCCUUGACUUUGGGAUAACUUCAGGCAACUGGUGAUAAUACCGGAUAGGAGCUCCUGCUGCAUGGUGGGGGUUGGAACGUUUCGGCGGAUGGGGAUGGACUCGCGGCUUAUCAGCUUGUUGGUGGGGUAGUUGCUUACCAAGGCUUUGACGGGUGGGCGGCCUGAGAGGGGGACCGGCCACAAUGCGACUGAGAGACGGACCAGACGGCUACGGGAGGCAGCAGUGGGGAAUAUGACACAAUGGGCGGAAGCCUGUUGCAGCAACGCCGCGUGCGUGAUGACGGCCUUCGUGGUGUAAACCGCUGUCGCCUGAGACGAAGCGUGAGUGACGGUAACGGGUAAAGAAGCACCGGCUAACUACGUG